ACCUGAAACCGUGUACGUACAAGCAGUGGGAGCACCCUUUGGGGUGUGACUGCGUACCUUUUGUAUAAUGGGUCAGCGACUUAUAUUCUGUAGCAAGGUUAACCGUAUAGGGGAGCCGGAGGGAAACCGAGUCUUAACCGGGCGUUAAGUUGCAGGGUAUAGACCCGAAACCCGGUGAUCUAGCCAUGGGCAGGUUGAAGGUUGGGUAACACUAACUGGAGGACCGAACCGACUAAUGUUGAAAAAUUAGCGGAUGACCUGUGGCUGGGGGUGAAAGGCCAAUCAAACCGGGAGAUAGCUGGUUCUCCCCGAAAGCUAUUUAGGUAGCGCCUCGUGAAUUCAUCUCCGGGGGUAGAGCACUGUUUCGGCUAGGGGGCCAUCCCGGCUUACCAACCCGAUGCAAACUGCGAAUACCGGAGAAUGUUAUCACGGGAGACACACGGCGGGUGCUAACGUCCGUCGUGAAGAGGGAAACAACCCAGACCGCCAGCUAAGGUCCCAAAGUCAUGGUUAAGUGGGAAACGAUGUGGGAAGGCCCAGACAGCCAGGAUGUUGGCUUAGAAGCAGCCAUCAUUUAAAGAAAGCGUAAUAGCUCACUGGUCGAGUCGGCCUGCGCGGAAGAUGUAACGGGGCUAAACCAUGCACCGAAGCUGCGGCAGCGACGCUGAUGCGUUGUUGGGUAGGGGAGCGUUCUGUAAGCCUGCGAAGGUGGCCUGUGAGGGUUGCUGGAGGUAUCAGAAGUGCGAAUGCUGACAUAAGUAACGAUAAAGCGGGUGAAAAGCCCGCUCGCCGGAAGACCAAGGGUUCCUGUCCAACGUUAAUCGGGGCAGGGUGAGUCGACCCCUAAGGCGAGGCCGAAAGGCGUAGUCGAUGGGAAACGGGUUAAUAUUCCCGUACUUGGUGUUACUGCGAAGGGGGGACGGAGAAGGCUAUGUUGGCCGGGCGACGGUUGUCCCGGUUUAAGCGUGUAGGUGUGUGUUCCAGGUAAAUCCGGUUCACUUUAACACUGAGGCGUGAUGACGAGGCACUACGGUGCUGAAGCAACAAAUGCCCUGCUUCCAGGAAAAGCCUCUAAGCAUCAGGUAACAUCAAAUCGUACCCCAAACCGACACAGGUGGUCAGGUAGAGAAUACCAAGGCGCUUGAGAGAACUCGGGUGAAGGAACUAGGCAAAAUGGUGCCGUAACUUCGGGAGAAGGCACGCUGACACGUAGGUGAAGUGAUUUACUCAUGGAGCUGAAGUCAGUCGAAGAUACCAGCUGGCUGCAACUGUUUAUUAAAAACACAGCACUGUGCAAACACGAAAGUGGACGUAUACGGUGUGACGCCUGCCCGGUGCCGGAAGGUUAAUUGAUGGGGUCAGCGCAAGCGAAGCUCCUGAUCGAAGCCCCGGUAAACGGCGGCCGUAACUAUAACGGUCCUAAGGUAGCGAAAUUCCUUGUCGGGUAAGUUCCGACCUGCACGAAUGGCGUAAUGAUGGCCAGGCUGUCUCCACCCGAGACUCAGUGAAAUUGAACUCGCUGUGAAGAUGCAGUGUACCCGCGGCAAGACGGAAAGACCCCGUGAACCUUUACUAUAGCUUGACACUGAACAUUGAGCCUUGAUGUGUAGGAUAGGUGGGAGGCUUUGAAGUGUGGACGCCAGUCUGCAUGGAGCCGACCUUGAAAUACCACCCUUUAAUGUUUGAUGUUCUAACGUGGACCCGUGAUCCGGGUUGCGGACAGUGUCUGGUGGGUAGUUUGACUGGGGCGGUCUCCUCCUAAAGAGUAACGGAGGAGCACGAAGGUUGGCUAAUCCUGGUCGGACAUCAGGAGGUUAGUGCAAUGGCAUAAGCCAGCUUGACUGCGAGCGUGACGGCGCGAGCAGGUGCGAAAGCAGGUCAUAGUGAUCCGGUGGUUCUGAAUGGAAGGGCCAUCGCUCAACGGAUAAAAGGUACUCCGGGGAUAACAGGCUGAUACCGCCCAAGAGUUCAUAUCGACGGCGGUGUUUGGCACCUCGAUGUCGGCUCAUCACAUCCUGGGGCUGAAGUAGGUCCCAAGGGUAUGGCUGUUCGCCAUUUAAAGUGGUACGCGAGCUGGGUUUAGAACGUCGUGAGACAGUUCGGUCCCUAUCUGCCGUGGGCGCUGGAGAACUGAGGGGGGCUGCUCCUAGUACGAGAGGACCGGAGUGGACGCAUCACUGGUGUUCGGGUUGUCAUGCCAAUGGCACUGCCCGGUAGCUAAAUGCGGAAGAGAUAAGUGCUGAAAGCAUCUAAGCACGAAACUUGCCCCGA
rnacentral:rRNA from 1 species